rnacentral:rRNA from 1 species
UACACAUGCAGUCGAGGGGCAGCAUCAUCAAAGCUUGCUUUGAUGGAUGGCGACCGGCGCACGGGUGAGUAACACGUAUCCAACCUGCCGACAACACUGGGAUAGCCUUUCGAAAGAAAGAUUAAUACCGGAUGGUAUAGUUUUCCCGCAUGGGAUGAUUAUUAAAGAAUUUCGGUUGUCGAUGGGGAUGCGUUCCAUUAGGCAGUUGGCGGGGUAACGGCCCACCGAACCUACGAUGGAUAGGGGUUCUGAGAGGAAGGUCCCCCACAUUGGAACUGAGACACGGUCCAAACUCCUACGGGAGGCAGCAGUGAGGAAUAUUGGUCAAUGGACGAGAGUCUGAACCAGCCAAGUAGCGUGAAGGAUGACUGCCCUAUGGGUUGUAAACUUCUUUUAUACGGGAAUAAAGUGAGCCACGUGUGGCUUUUUGUAUGUACCGUAUGAAUAAGGAUCGGCUAACUCCGUGCCAGCAGCCGCGGUAAUACGGAGGAUCCGAGCGUUAUCCGGAUUUAUUGGGUUUAAAGGGAGCGUAGGCGGGUUGUUAAGUCAGUUGUGAAAGUUUGCGGCUCAACCGUAAAAUUGCAGUUGAUACUGGCGACCUUGAGUGCAACAGAGGUAGGCGGAAUUCGUGGUGUAGCGGUGAAAUGCUUAGAUAUCACGAAGAACUCCGAUUGCGAAGGCAGCUUACUGGA